GAGAUGGUUCAGUUAGUACAGCAUGAAUCUCUUAAUCUCAUGUUUGUGGGUUCAAGCCCCAUGUUGGGCA